UACUGACCGGUUCUUGUCUGGCGCGGCAGACGGCACCGUUCGUCUAUGGGAUUUGCGGUCGCCCCGCUGUCAGGGCUGCCUUCAGGCCGGUGGGCUGCCUAUACCCCUCUUUGAUCCACAAGGUUCAAACUUUGCUGUGGCCUUGGAUGCAAAAUCUAUAAAAAUUUAUUCGUUAGCCAAGUUUCUCUCGGGGCCUGCUUGUACAUUUACCUUCGAUCUUCCUGAGUUGUUGACUUCUGAAUGGCGACUCCUUCGUUACAGCCCCGACGGGAAAAGCCUACUUAUCGCCACGAACGGUGAUCACUUUCUCGUGGAUGUUUCUAAUGGCGCCAUCCACGCAAAGUUAUCAGGCCACGUCAACGCGCAAGACGUGUGCUUUUCCCCGGACGGCCGGUUUGUACUUAGUGGCUCGGAAGACGGUGGCAUCUACUGCUGGGAUCUGAAAGGAGAAUUAGUUUACGCCUUUGAGGGGCACAAAACCGCUAUCAGGCAAGUUAGAUUUAAUCCAAAGUUCAUGAUGGUUGCCUCUGCCGCUGAAUGCUUGGCUUUCUGGAUUCCGAACUUAAAGAAAUUAGACUUUUGAUGUCGUUAAAAAUAAA